rnacentral:tRNA from 1 species
GAGGUAUUAUGAAUAAAGUAAGGGCUUCUAACCUUCUGCUUGAGUGGUUAAAUUCCAUUCAUACCUCU